rnacentral:lncRNA from 10 species
CGCGGUCGGCCCACAGGCUGGGCACUAACGGGUCCCGGGGCGCCGGGGCGGACUGCGGCGGUGAGCGCGGCUGCAGGCCGCGGUGAGGGGCGGGAAGAGCGCAGCUGCGAGCAGGCGGGCGGAGGGUAGCGGGAAGCCCGGGCGGAGGGGGCGGCGUGAGAGCCUCGGGGCGGGGGCGGGGCCUGGCGCGUCCGCCGAGCGCGGGGGUUUGUUUAUUUUCCCGGUUGGUAGCGGCGCUGGCGCUGGUUAGAGGUUCGCCGGUGACGUGAGCGCCCGAGUUGGGGGAGAGGACCAGAACCACCUGCUGGAGAAAGGGAGCUACGGGGGCCGGGCAGGGUCCAAACGCCUCACGUGGGCGGCGGCGCCACGGUCUUCGGGGUCACAGGGAAGAGAAGGGCUCUCCUCAAGCGGGUGGAAGGAGGGAGGCCUCCCGAGGGAAUGAGACUCCAGGCCACUCCCCCGCAGCAAGGCAGGAUCACCUGCGUCGCGGAGAGCAGUUAGAGGUCCCUGGAGUGGAAAAGGGCAGUGGGACCUGGUAGCUUGGGUUCCCUGCAACUUGGGGUUCGACCUCCAGGCAAUGAAGUAGGGAUGGUCCUGCAAGUCAAGAUUCCAGUAGCAAGAGUGCAUCAGAUCUCUGUAAGGAAAAUAACUAACAUUGCUCAGUUCCCUGUAGAGUUGCAGGGCGCUUUGACGUUAUCUCCCUUGGUUCUCCAUCAGGUCGUAGUGGACUAAUUUUACAGGCGAAGUUAAGUGACUUACCCAAAACCUCACAGCUAAUAAACGGCAGAGCCGGCACCCAGCUGUACUGGCUUCCAGCGCAUCCCAUUAUCUCCAUAAAUCCCCCUGAUUCAACUAAUAUUAGACGCCCCACAGAGUCUCGCUGCUCAAAACGUGGUCAGUGGCCCAGCAGCACUGACAUGAGGACCUUAGUUGGAAACUCAGAAUCUCAGGCUCCACCCCAGACCUGCUGAACCAGCAUCUUCAACUUAACAAGAACCCGAAGAGAUUUGUGCCACAUCAAAAAGUUUGAGAAGCUCUGAUCUAGCUGGACCCUGGACACGGUGACUCUGAUUCAAUUAUGCAGAUGACCACAAGCCUCUGGGGUUGGCAGAGCCACAAGAAAGAAGGUGCCUGGAUGAAGGAGAGCUACCCACUGACCUGGACACCCAAUUAUAGGAUAGACAGUGAAGUGCAACUACAGCCCGCAAAUGAAAAUGAAUAAAAUUAAUCCAGCCCCUCAAGGCAGUCAUCUGUCUUAGAGCUAUUGGAAUCCUGGAUCAUUGUGGGAAAUGAAAAGUCUGGAUGCCCAUUUUAAUUCUUCUGAAAGCAUGCCUCCUUCUGGCUUCAGGACUCCAUCUCCAGCCUUAUGAUCUAAAAAUAAUCCCCAAACCAAAAAAUUAGAUAUUAUUUCCUCAAAAUUAGGUGUUUUAAUCAAAACAUCUUAACAUAAAUACAUUAUUAUCACCCAAUAUGCAUAAUGUUGUUCAACUUUUUUGUUAAAUGACUUAUUUUAGAUGAACAGAUGUGUGAAUAUGAAUAUUUUUAUUUCACUUACAGGCAUCUUGCAUGUGAAUAACUCACAACUUUAAUUCAUGGAACAAAUUGAGAAAUAGUCUUUUGGGGGUUUGGUACUCCCUGGAAACAUAAGAGUGCUUUGGGCACCUCUGGUGCCUUUCCAUGCCUGCCUUCUCUGCUGUUCUUGCUACUAGUGAAUUCUAAAUCAUGGCCAAGUGAUGCCAGCACUGGAUAAUAUUGGCUCUGCCCCAUAUCUCGAGGGAAAACUCUGGGACUUGGCAUUAUAUGUGUGGGAAUCUGGCCUUGGUUGGCACUCCCAGCAUGAUAGCAGGGUUCUGCUGUCUGAAUGUACUCUGGGGUGUGCGCCACAAUUUCUGUCAUCGAAAUGGAGAUGAGAGAAUAUGCCCUUGGUGGGGACACCCCACUGGAAUUAGAGUGAAGAGAUCAAAGCUAGAGGUUCUUAAAUCAAAGAAUGUCUAAUAGCAAAGACAAAAACUUGCUUAAGAGAAAUGCAUACAGGUACUAGACCUAAUAUGAUGAAAAAUGCUAACUUCAACAUAUUGAUGCAUGCUUAGUAUACUUUUAGUCCUGCAAAGACAAAAGUUUUUUGUUUGUUUUUUUUUGAGACGGAGUCUCGCUCUGUCGCCCAGGUUGGAGUGCAGUGGUGUGAUCUCGGCUUACUGCAAGCUCUGCCUCCUGGGUUCACACCAUUCUCCUGCCUCAGCCUCCGGAGUAGCUGGGACUACAGGCGCCCGCCACCACGCCCGGCUAAUUUUUUGUAUUUUUAGUAGAGAUGGGGUUUCACCGUGUUAGCCAGGAUGGUCUCGAUCUCCUGACCUCAGGUGAUCCGCCUGCCUUGGCCUCCCAAAGUGCUGGGAUUACAGGCAUGAGCCACCGCACCUGGCCCAGUCCUGCCAAGACAAAGUUUUAAAACACAGGUUGCACAUUGGCAGCUCUCAAGCCAAAUCUGGCCCAUAGACAUGGUUUGCUUGGCCUAUAAUGUUAGUAAUACUUGACCCAAGAUUUAAAAUUUGAAAAGUUUCAUAUAAAAAUAUAGAUUUACAGCUUUUCUAGAAAAACUAUAAGAGUUAACAGUUUCUGAAUUGCAACAGCAGCUGGAACACCGUUGCCACUGACCAUUUAGAUGACUGCUGCAGUCCCCACGGCUCACUCUGGUUCAGGUAGGGGUUCUAGUUUGUAACCCCUGGUUUAAAACAUAACUGACUCUCUAGUUUUUAAAAUUCUCUCAAAAUCAAAUAACCUGAACUAGCAAAUGAUCUAGAUCCUCGUACAUGGAACUCAUACUAAGUUGACCACAGACAGUGGCUCCCAAACUCUGCAGUACAUCAGAGUCACUGGGAAGCUUUAAAAAAUCCUGCUCCCUAGCUGGGUGCAGUGGUUUAUGCCUGUAGCCCCAGCUACUUGAGAGGCUGAGGUGGGAGGAUUGCUCAAGCCCAGGAGUUUGAGGCUGCAGUGAGCCAUGAAUGUACCACUACACUCCAGCCUGGGCAACAGAGCAAGACCCCAACUCUAAAAAAAAAUCCUGCUCCCCAGGUGACAGUAUCUGGGGGAAGGAGUAAGGCAUCUUAUUUUCAAAAGAUCAUAAGAAAAGAGGCUCAUUGCUGAGGCUCACUCCGGAGCCCACUUGGAUUCUUCACAAGAAAGUUUCCCUCUUCCAGAAUUUUAUAAUUGAGGGAACCGACUAGGGAAAGAUUAAUUUGCCCAAGGUCAAACAACUAGUAAAAGAAGUAAGGAUUCCAACCCAGAUCUUUUGACUCUAUUAUCCUUACAUAUAGUUUUAUAGUGAUUUAAAUUGAUACAAGGAUAGGUUUAAAUACAAGUAGAAUGCAGGUUCAUAUAAAACUGAUUUUAUCCUCAUGUUAGAAAACAUAUACACUGUAACAGAGGGAUGACCAUCAAGUGACCAAGAUAUUUUAGUCAAAAGAUGAAUUUUUCUGCAAUUGGAGAAUGCCAAAAAUAUUCAAAGAAAAUAUAAGUCUUGUAGGCAGUCUUCUAUCAAAACCCACUGAACCGCUGGGCACGGUGGCUCAUGCCUGUAAUUCCAGCACUUUGGGAGGCCAAGGCUGGUGGAUCACCUGAGGUCAGGAGUUUGAGACCAGCCUGGCCGACAUGGUCUCUACUAAAAAUACAAAAAAUUAGCUGGGCCUGGUGGCGGCACCUGUAAUCCCAGCUACUGAGGAGGCUGAGGCAGGAGAAUUGUUUGAACCUUGGAGGUAGAGGCUGCAGUGAGCUGAGAUAGCACCACUGCACUCCAGCCUGGGUAACAAGAGUGAAACUCCAUUCAAAAACAAAAAACAAACAAAAAAAAAACAAUGCACCAAAUACUAAGUUAUUAACUAGGAUACUGAUUAUUAAGCAUGUAAAACAUUUUAUGGAACUCAGAGUUUGAUGUAAAUUGCUAUAUUUUAUAAUUCAAACAAACCUUGUUUCAUGUCAUUAUAUUAGAGUAGCAUUAUGAGACAGGAUAUAGUGUAAGCUAUAUCCCCAAUAUAAUUGCAACUGUAUAUUUUAAAGCAUGGGGAAAAUAUGAAAAGAAUUAUGCUCAAAUGUGGGUAGGAUUAUAACUGAUUUGUUUUCUUCAUUUUCAGAUUUUUCUAUAAUGACUAUACAUUAUUUUUAUAGUCAAAAAUAGAAGUAUUUUAAAUGUUUCUAGGUAGAAUAGCAAAUUAGCUGAAAUAGUAUCUCCAACGUUAUUAUCAAGACUAGACUCCUUGGGUAAAUUGGUCAGAACAGUGUUGUUCUCAUUUUACACCUCUCCAAGAUUAACUAUGUUUUAGAUUUGUGUGUGUGUUUGGUUAAAGAGCCAGGAUGAAGAUCCAGAGUUCUUAAACCUGUAUACCACCAUACUACAUUGUCAUUUUAAAGAAAUGUCUAGUAGACUCGGUGGCAUAAACAUGGGCCAUUUACAAACUAGAUGUCUAAUAUCAGAUACCUCAAAUUUGACAGUAGACUUUUUUUCAAAGCUAAAGUGGUCUUAUGUUGACUAUUUUGUUUCUUACUUGAUACUUGUUUACUUUUUAAUUUUUGGCAAGUAAUGUUUCAAGUUAAAGUUUUAGCUAUAUAUAGCAGGCAGUAUUUCAAGUAAAUGAGUUACAUCAGUAAACACCUCUGUAUUACUAAACUGAGAAUCAGAAAAUGUAAUCUCUUUGGCAGGAUUCGUAUGUUUGUAUCACGUCUUUAUCCUCAGGCAACUUUUAUCUUGGAAUACUGAACCAGCAGUCAGAAUAUGAGGGACAUUAGACUGUGUUAUAGUUACUGUUCUGUCCUUAAGUCACUUGCCUUCUCUAAGUGUCAGUUGCCUCAUCUGAAAAUGGAGUUAGCAGACCCCAGCCUAUCCUGAGUUUGAGGGCUAAAGGGAAUUAUUCUUGAAAAUGUCUAUACAUGAUAAAUGUCACAAAUAUAACUUAGCAUUUUUUUUUUGAGACAGAGUUUCGCUCUUGUGGCCCAGGUCGGGGUGCAAUGUCGUGAUCUCAGCUCACUGCAACCUCUGCCUCCCGGGUUCAAGCGAUUCUCCUGCCUCAGCCUCCUGAGUAGCUGGGAUUACAGGCAUGCACCACCACACCUGGCUAAUUUUGUAUUUUUUAAUAGAGACGGGGUUUCACCAUGUUGGUCAGGUUGGUCUCGAACUCCUACCCUCCGGUGAUCCACCCGCCUUGGCCUCCCAAAGUGCUGGGAUUACAGGCAUGAGCCACCGCACCUAGCCAAUUCUACUUCUAUUACAUUUUCAGCAUAUAUCACUUCAUUGCUCCUCCAUAUUAUUUUUCACUGGUCUUCUUACAUCUUGUGUGCCCAUAUUUAAGUAGUUUUCUUUCCAGGUAAAAAAUACAUGUGUGCCUAAAAGAUUUUAAAGUCAACUUUUCAUAAACCAUACCUAAAUUAUCAAAGUUAUUAGAAUUAUUAGAAAGUAUUAGCUAAUUCUUUUAUAAAAUGUAGACUUUAUUAUUUUAGAAAUAUUGAUUCCUCUCUAUUCAGCUAUCUUAAAGAGGGUAUAUUUUAAUCAUCGCAAUAUAUUACCUUCAUAGUAUUUUUUACUUUUGCAAAGUAUAUUUUGUCAUGUUAUUUCAUUUAGGAAUGCACUAAAUCUACAUAUCUACAUAUGAUUAUACAAGGAAACAUCUUUGUCUCAAAAAUGGGUUCUAUUACAUUUUUUAAUUUCCAGGGGUCAUGAUAUAUAAAAAGACCUGAUUUAUCUUAAAAAUACAUACUUUUAUUCUUACCUACCAUACAUCUUUUUUUGUGAUAAUCAGAAGGCUUAAUUUACUAUAAAAUAGGAAAACAACAGCUAUGUUAGAUUAUAUAGUUAAUUUAGGGAUUAAAUGAGUUAAGGUCUACAAGCCCCUGGCACAUGGCAGACAAUCAAUAAUUGAUCAUUUCCUUUGCAUCUAUAAAUUUGUUCAUUCACUUCUCAUGUGGUUCUACCUUAGACAACGAUUUUUGUUUACAGAGACAAAUAGAAGUAUCUAAUCCUAAAUAACCCAAUCAAUUGGUAAAGGCUACACUACAAAGCUGGCAUGACUUCACCAAAUGCUAGAGAAACAGUGUUAAGAGUGACAACACUAAAAGUCUUACACUCUGAUGAUGCUAGUUGCCGCCGAAUUGCUUCCCCUACCAGUUCCUUAAGUUUCUUCUUAUGAUCCCGGCUGGUUUUCUUAUAGAAAUAAAGAUCUUUUUCCAACUGCUGGAUUUUAUCUUCAUAUGUUUUGAAAGUUUCCAUAAUGCCUUCUCCAUCUUGUUCUAUACAACAAAAAUUUGCAUUUAAAAUCAGUUUUAAAUAAAUGAUGCAAAAUUAUGUUUUUGUUUGUUUCUUUGUCUUUUUGAAACGGAGUCUUGCACUGUCGCCCAGGCUAGAGUGCAGUGGCGUGAUAUGCUCGGCUCACUGUAAGCUCCGCCACCCAGGUUCACACCAUUCUCCUGCCUCCGCCUCCCAAGUAGCUGGGACUACAGGUGCCCAGCACCACGCCCGGCUAAUUUUUUUGUAUUUUUAGUAGAGACGAGGUUUCAUCAUGUUAGCCAGGAUGGUCUCGAUCUCCUGACCUCGUGAACUGCC